UACGUAGGGUGCAAGCGUUAAUCGGAAUUACUGGGCGUAAAGCGUGCGCAGGCGGUUGUGCAAGACCGAUGUGAAAUCCCCGGGCUUAACCUGGGAACUGCGUUUGAAACUGGGAGACUUGAGUGUGGCAGAGGGGGGUGGAAUUCCACGUGUAGCAGUGAAAUGCGUAGAUAUGUGGAGGAACACCAAUGGCGAAGGCAGCCCCCUGGGUCAACACUGACGCUCAUGCACGAAAGCGUGGGGAGCAAACAGG
rnacentral:rRNA from 1 species